UUCAGUGUAUAUUAAUUAUUUAUUUUCAUUUUACUUAAAAUAUAUGUUUUUGUUAAGUUAACAUAUGUUUUUCUAAUCAAGUCUACGUAAUUGUGUCUAUUAUUCAACGUACAUAAUACUAAUGUGUUACUUGAUCGCAUAACAUUUAAGUUAAGUCAAUUAGGAUCGAUAUACCUUGUAUAUCCACAAGGUGGCAGUAAUGCAAAAACAGUUGUAAUGAAACCGCGCAGAACAAGAAGGUUUCACGGCUUGUGCCUGCUCAUGCGCAAGACUUCAAAUUUAACUGAAAAAGGCUGUUUUGGCGCCAAGCUGCUGUUUCUUUGAGAGAUCCUGCCUUUACCUGCUCCCUCCUAUACUGAUGUGGUGUAUGUGGUAUUGCUGAGCUUGUAUGUGGUGGAAGCAGAAUAUGUGAGGAUUACUACUGCUCCACUUGUUCCAAGGCUUUUUACACAACUUGACCAAUACAC